rnacentral:rRNA from 1 species
GAUGAACGCUAGCGAUAGGCUUAACACAUGCAAGUCGAGGGGCAGCAUGGUCUUAGCUUGCUAAGACUGAUGGCGACCGGCGCACGGGUGCGUAACGCGUAUGCAACCUGUCUCACAGAGGGGGAUAACCCGUCGAAAGACGGACUAAUACUGCGAACACUACACCUUGGGCACCCAAGGUAGAGGAAAUGAACUUCGCUGUUAGAUAGGCAUGCGUCCCAUUGGAUAGUUGGUGAGGUAACGGCUCACCAAGGCGACGAUGGGUAGCGGAACUGAGAGGGUGAACCCCCACACUUGUACUGCGGCACAGACCCGGCUCCUACGGGAGGCAGCAGUGUGGAAUAUUGGUCACUGGGCGAGGGCCUGAACCAGCCAAGUCGCGUGAGGGAUGCCUGUCUUAGUGAUUGUAUACUUCUUUUAUACGGGAAUAACAAGAGUCACGGGUGACUCCUUGCAUGUACCGUAUGAAUAAGCAUCGGCUAACUCCGUA